rnacentral:rRNA from 1 species
ACUGCGUUNUGAACUGGGUAGCUAGAGUAUGUCAGAGGGGGGUAGAAUUCCACGUGUAGCAGUGAAAUGCGUAGAGAUGUGGAGGAAUACCGAUGGCGAAGGCAGCCCCCUGGGAUAAUACUGACGUUCAUGCUNGAAAGCGUGGGUAGCAAACAGGAUUAGAUACCCUGGUAGUCCACGCCCUAAACGAUGUCGAUUAGCUGUUGGGCAACUUGAUUGCUUAGUAGCGUAGCUAACGCGUGAAAUCGACCGCCUGGGGAGUACGGUCGCAAGAUUAAAACUCAAAGGAAUUGACGGGGACCCGCACAAGCGGUGGAUGAUGUGGAUUAAUUCGAUGCGACGCGAAGAACCUUACCUGGUCUUGACAUGUACGGAAGAACUCAGAGACGAGUUUGUGCCUUCGGGAGCCGUAACACAGGUGCUGCAUGGCUGUCGUCAGCUCGUGUCGUGAGAUGUUGGGUUAAGUCCCGCAACGAGCGCAACCCUUGUCAUUAGUUGCCAUCAUUUAGUUGGGCACUCUAAUGAGACUGCCGGUGACAAACCGGAGGAAGGUGGGGAUGACGUCAAGUCCUCAUGGCCCUUAUGACCAGGGCUUCACACGUCAUACAAUGGUCGGUACAGAGGGUAGCCAAGCCGCGAGGUGGAGCCAAUCCCAGAAAACCGAUCGUAGUCCGGAUUGCACUCUGCAACUCGAGUGCAUGAAGUCGGAAUCGCUAGUAAUCGCAGGUCAGCAUACUGCGGUGAAUACGUUCCCGGGUCUUGUACACACCGCCCGUCACACCAUGGGAGUGGGGGAUACCAGAAGUAGG